rnacentral:lncRNA from 1 species
CACCCCAUCUGUGACCACCCUUGGCUGGCUGCUGGGGAGGACUUGACAGCCCCCCGAGCAGAAGUGCUGCUCCUCCUCUCACUGGCCUGUUCCCACUGCUGCCCUGCCGGCAUCCAGCUGGCCACCUCCCCGCUGGGCUCGCCUGAGCCCUCCAGCUACACCCUGUGCUUUUCUCUCCGGGACUUGCAGUGCCCGGCACACGGAGCUAAAGGCAGCGUGAACCCCAGCUUUGUUUAUCAUCCACUUGGCAUGAAACGGCCUCCACAAACAAUAAGGCGUCCAAGUUCCACACGAGGAAGACAGCGUCAGAAAACCCUCUGCACCACCACUGAAGACCAGUGUUCUUCCUCAGGCAUGGGGACAGGGACACCAGAGCAACUCUGGUGAGGUCCCGCAAGUGAAGGGUGAGCUGGGUGUGACAGGAGGAUGUGGUGUGCUCGACCACAAUCCCGUCAGCCUUCAGGGUUGCUCGAUGAGGCCAGAGCAUCGUGAGAAAGUGAAACGGAAGAUUUAACAAGGCCGCCACCUCGAGGAUGCUCAACACAAUGCAAGAUGAACUGGACACACGCAGCCUUCAAGUGGCUAGUGACCUCCUCCACUAGGAAGGCACCUGGGAUUCCAUCAAGGGUCAGGGAACAGACCGUGUACCGGCAUCAUGGCCUUGAG